rnacentral:rRNA from 1 species
GACGAACGCUGGCGGCGUGCCUAAUACAUGCAAGUAGAACGCUGAAGGAGGAGCUUGCUUCUCUGGAUGAGUUGCGAACGGGUGAGUAACGCGUAGGUAACCUGCCUGGUAGCGGGGGAUAACUAUUGGAAACGAUAGCUAAUACCGCAUAACAGUAGAUGUUGCAUGACAUUUGCUUAAAAGGUGCAAUUGCAUCACUACCAGAUGGACCUGCGUUGUAUUAGCUAGUUGGUGAGGUAACGGCUCACCAAGGCAACGAUACAUAGCCGACCUGAGAGGGUGAUCGGCCACACUGGGACUGAGACACGGCCCAGACUCCUACGGGAGGCAGCAGUAGGGAAUCUUCGGCAAUGGACGGAAGUCUGACCGAGCAACGCCGCGUGAGUGAAGAAGGUUUUCGGAUCGUAAAGCUCUGUUGUAAGAGAAGAACGAGUGUGAGAGUGGAAAGUUCACACUGUGACG